rnacentral:rRNA from 1 species
AGCAGUAGCCGCGGUAAUACGAAGGGGGCUAGCGUUGCUCGGAAUCACUGGGCGUAAAGGGUGCGUAGGCGGGUCUUUAAGUCAGAGGUGAAAGCCUGGAGCUCAACUCCAGAACUGCCUUUGAUACUGAGGAUCUCGAGUUCGGGAGAGGUGAGUGGAACUGCGAGUGUAGAGGUGAAAUUCGUAGAUAUUCGCAAGAACACCAGUGGCGAAGGCGGCUCACUGGCCCGAUACUGACGCUGAGGCACGAAAGCGUGGGGAGCAAACAGGAUUAGAUACCCCGGUAGUCCCUGUCUCUUAUAC